rnacentral:rRNA from 1 species
ACGGGGGGAGCAAGCGUUGUUCGGAUUUACUGGGCGUAAAGCGCACGUAGGCGGCUUUGUAAGUUAGAGGUGAAAGCCCAGGGCUCAACCCUGGAAUUGCCUUUAAGACUGCAUCGCUUGAACAUCGGAGAGGUGAGUGGAAUUCCGAGUGUAGAGGUGAAAUUCGUAGAUAUUCGGAAGAACACCAGUGGCGAAGGCGACUCACUGGACAUGUAUUGACGCUGAGGUGCGAAAGCGUGGGGAGCAAACAGGA